rnacentral:rRNA from 1 species
GAUGAACGCUAGCUACAGGCUUAACACAUGCAAGUCGAGGGGAAACGAUAUUGGAAGCUUGCUUCCGAUAGGCGUCGACCGGCGCACGGGUGAGUAACGCGUAUCCAACCUGCCCAUCACUUGGGGAUAACCUUGCGAAAGUAAGACUAAUACCCAAUGACGUCUCUAGAAGACAUCUGAAAGAGAUUAAAGAUUUAUCGGUGAUGGAUGGGGAUGCGUCUGAUUAGCUUGUUGGCGGGGUAACGGCCCACCAAGGCGACGAUCAGUAGGGGUUCUGAGAGGAAGGCCCCCCACAUUGGAACUGAGACACGGUCCAAACUCCUACGGGAGGCAGCAGUGAGGAAUAUUGGUCAAUGGGCGAGAGCCUGAACCAGCCAAGUAGCGUGCAGGAAGACGGCCCUAUGGGUUGUAAACUGCUUUUAUAAGGGAAUAAAGUGGGAGUCGUGACUCCUUUUGCAUGUACCUUAUGAAUAAGGACCGGCUAAUUCCGUGCCAGCAGCCGCCGUAA